GAUGAACGCUGGCGGCAUGCCUAAUACAUGCAAGUCGAGCGAACAGAUGAGGAGCUUGCUCCUCUGACGUUAGCGGCGGACGGGUGAGUAACACGUGGAUAACCUACCUAUAAGACUGGGAUAACUUCGGGAAACCGGAGCUAAUACCGGAUAAUAUAUUGAACCGCAUGGUUCAAUAGUGAAAGACGGUUUUGCUGUCACUUAUAGAUGGAUCCGCGCCGCAUUAGCUAGUUGGUAAGGUAACGGCUUACCAAGGCAACGAUGCGUAGCCGACCUGAGAGGGUGAUCGGCCACACUGGAACUGAGACACGGUCCAGACUCCUACGGGAGGCAGCAGUAGGGAAUCUUCCGCAAUGGGCGAAAGCCUGACGGAGCAACGCCGCGUGAGUGAUGAAGGUCUUCGGAUCGUAAAACUCUGUUAUUAGGGAAGAACAAAUGUGUAAGUAACUAUGCACGUCUUGACGGUACCUAAUCAGAAAGCCACGGCUAACUACGUG
rnacentral:rRNA from 1 species